rnacentral:rRNA from 1 species
AUUGAACGCUGGCGGCAUGCCUUACACAUGCAAGUCGAACGGUAGAGGGGGCGACCCCUUGAGAGUGGCGAACGGGUGAGUAAAGCAUCGGAACGUGCCCAGUAGUGGGGGAUAGCCCGGCGAAAGCCGGAUUAAUACCGCAUACGACCUACGGGUGAAAGGUGGGGAUCGCAAGACCUCUCGCUAUUGGAGCGGCCGAUGUCAGAUUAGGUAGUUGGUGGGGUAAAGGCCUACCAAGCCGACGAUCUGUAGCUGGUUUGAGAGGACGACCAGCCACACUGGGACUGAGACACGGCCCAGACUCCUACGGGAGGCAGCAGUGGGGAAUUUUGGACAAUGGGCGCAAGCCUGAUCCAGCCAUGCCGCGUGCGGGAAGAAGGCCUUCGGGUUGUAAACCGCUUUUGUCAGGGAAGAAAUCCUUUGAGCUAAUACCUCGGGGGGAUGACGGUACCUGAAGAAUAAGCACCGGCUAACUACGUGCCAGCAGCCGCAGUAAGAC